GCCCUGGUAGCCUAGUGGUUGGAGCGUCCGCAUCGGAUGCGUAAGGUCGUGGGUUCUAUCCCCAGUUGAGUCA